AAAGUCCCGCAAGGGAUGAGUAGAGUGGCAAACGGGUGAGUAACGCGUGGGUGACCUGCCUUCGAGUGGGGGAUAACGUUUCGAAAGGAACGCUAAUACCGCAUGACAUCCUGCUUUUUAACAGGCGGAGAUCAAAGCCGGGGAUCGCAAGACCUGGCGCUUGAAGAGGGGCCCGCGUCCGAUUAGCUAGUUGGUGGGGUAACGGCUCACCAAGGCAACGAUCGGUAGCCGGCCUGAGAGGGCGGACGGCCACACUGGGACUGAGACACGGCCCAGACUCCUACGGGAGGCAGCAGUAGGGAAUUGUUCGCAAUGGGCGCAAGCCUGACGACGCAACGCCGCGUGGAGGAUGAAGACCUUCGGGUCGUAAACUCCUUUCGAUCGAGACGAAUGGCCUUCGGGUGAACAAUCCGGAGGAAUGACGGUACCGAGAGAAGAAGCCCCGGCUAACUCCGUGCCAGCAGCCGCGGUAAUACGGGGGGGGCAAGCGUUGUUCGGAAUUACUGGGCGUAAAGGGCUCGUAGGCGGCCAACUAAGUCAGACGUGAAAUCCCUCGGCUUAACCGGGGAACUGCGUCUGAUACUGGAUGGCUAGAGAUUGGGAGAGGGAUGCGGAAUUCCAGGUGUAGCGGUGAAAUGCGUAGAUAUCUGGAGGAACACCGGUGGCGAAGGCGGCAUCCUGGACCAACACUGACGCUGAGGGAGCGAAAGCCAGGGGAGCAAACGGGAUUAGAUACCCCGGUAGUCCUGGCCCUAAACGAUGAAUGCUUGGUGUGACGGGUAUCGAUCCCUGUCGUGCCGAAGCUAACGCAUUAAGCAUUCCGCCUGGGGAGUACGGUCGCUAGGCUGAAACUC
rnacentral:rRNA from 1 species